AGCAACAGGAAAAGAAACUAAGAAAGAUGACUCUUUGUUCUUAGGGAGAGGGUAGUCCCGGUGGACAGAGCUGUUUGUUUUUAACGAUUCUCUCUUUGUUCCUGUUUUGAUUCCUCUACUCAGAAUAUAUUUUUCUGCCCUAAUGAUUUCUGGUAUGGCUGUGUGCCUCUCCUUGGUAGGGGAAUGUGAGUGGACAUUUACACGAUCAUCCAUGGAGAAGCAUUAAUUGAGCUAUGUGGACUGGCCUGUGUCUACCAAUCCUUGAUCUUCCAUCCCUUCUAUGAGAACCACAUUCCUGGAAUCAAGAGGGCUUCUAGAAUGUGAAGAAAUGUCCAUGACACAGAGCCCAAAAGAAGACCAUAGACAGGCCCAGCAUGAUCCUUCCCCCAACCUCAGUGAGCAAAGUGAUUCCAGAGACAGAAGCAGAAAUAUCGUAAGUUCAAGACCUGCCUGAGCUAUAGGCAGGGUGCCACCCACAGCCCGACCAGAUCUUCCCCCUCAGGAAUCCUUCCUGGGAAAACCCUCACACACACUCUCAAAGACAGACCUCACUGGUGCUCCGGACAUUUGUGAAUCGACUCAAGUUGACAAUCAAAAUUAAGCAUCACCAUUUAAAAACCUUUAAAAAG